CAGCCGCUUUUGCUCUCCUCAAGGUAUUUGUGAUUAACGCUUCCACCUGAGUGUCCGUGUUUAACAAUGGAAAGCUGGAGAUUUCAAAGCUCUAAAGGUUCCAGGUACUAAUAUCUUACCAAAGAAGGACAGUCUCAGAGGCAAGGCCUUCAGGGGAAUGCUUUAUGUGAUGUGAAAUUCCGAAAUCCUGAAAUUUUUGUCUUUUGGAAGACUUCCUAGAAAAGCAGUGGAAGCUCCUUCAAGAACAAUGCUCCAUUACAAAUUCCUUUUCCGGAUUCUAUAAGUUUAUUGCUAAGUAGCAAGAGCAAGCAUUUCAGGGAGAACUCUAAGGUCAAGUAUCAGCUACAUGUCUUUGACCGUUAAAAUGAGGACUUACGGUAAGACAAACCAUUGCGAGUAUAGGGUCCUUUUUCGCUGUCCUUUCCACCAAUGAAGAGCCCUCUCGGCUGAUGUGGACCGUCAGCAUAAUUUUGCAUAACUGCAAAACUUGAGGUGACUUAUUCUUUUAUUUCAUUCCUCGUAUGAGAUCAUCAACCUGAAGAAUUCACAAAUGCACCCACAUACCCAAAGCAGACGGUAUUUAUUAGCCUCUCUUUGAUCCAAUUACUGUAAAAAGAUUUCCCUCAGAGAACUUGAAAGUAAUCUUUACAGGUUGCGAAAGAAAACGUACACACCCUUUUGUAAUUUUAUCAGGGAAUCUUAGCAUGGGGCUGCUCAAACAAAGCAGGGCUCCUUAACGUCAGCUGCCUUCACUUAGGAACAGGACACCAGCCUGCAUCCGUCUCCUUCCAGUACGACAUGGUCAUAUUUUAUCCUAAAUGUGAAUGCACUGAUGAAGGAACCUGAGUGGAGAUUCGUAUUUAAUGUGGCUUCCAGGCUGAACUUGAAAGAGCUGUCCCACUGCGGGGGGGAAUGAGACAGAUGGAUUUCAAUAGGAUGAUGACAUUAUGGAAAACAGAUAAUCUCCAAAGCAGCAACACAAGAAAAGCAAGAAUCAGCCAAUGGAAUGAAAAUUAUUUUCACAAAUGCAGUAAAUUUGAAGUCCUCUAAAAUGUGGUAUUUUGACUUUUGAAAAUUAGUAACAGUGGGAAAAUUUAUUUAAGUGAAUACUCCUCCAAAAAGCAAAAUAAUUUGACCCAUAAACCCCAUCCAGCAUGACUGGACAAUUAGAUUUAAGAAGGAAGAUAAUUUGAUUCAUCUGAAUCUCUCUACAAGGAAAAAGCAGUCAGAGUGAGACACAAUUUCCGAGAGGCCUCUUGCAUUUCCCUUCAGAAAGAAGGUCCAGAGAAAUGCAGUGAUUGGAUCUUCCAAUCAUUCAAGAGUGGCUGAAAUGGCUACUAGGACCAAAAAUCUCAGCACCUGUUGGGAGAAAGCAAUAUGGUAAGAGGUGGAGGAAGGUGGAAGAAAAGAGAAAGUCAAGGAUGAGUAUCUGGGAAAGACUCUGAAAAUACCAGGAGAGAGAUAAACAGACACAUUCUGCCCUCGCCUCUUUCUCUCUCUCCCCCUGCUACAAUUUUGAGAGAAGGAGCAAAGAAAAGAGAAUUAAACUAUUAUGUUUAAAGCUUAGAUGUUAGGGGCACCUGGGUGGCACAGUCAUUUAAACAUCUGACUCUUGGUUUCAGCUCAGGUC